UCCUCGUUAGUAUAGUGGUGAGUAUCCCCGCCUGUCACGCGGGAGAUCGGGGUUCGAUUCCCCGACGGGGAG
rfam:Ciona savignyi cont_54145, whole genome shotgun sequence.